AGAGUUUGAUCCUGGCUCAGGAUGAACGCUGGCGGUCUGCUUAACACAUGCAAGUCGAACGCAAGUAGCAAUACUUGAGUGGCGGACGGGUGAGUAACGCGUGAGAAUCUGCCUAGAGGUUGGGGACAACCACUGGAAACGGUGGCUAAUACCCAAUGUGCCUAUUCGUGAAAGAUUUAUCGCCUCUAGAUGAGCUCGCGUCUGAUUAGCUAGUUGGUAGGGUAAAAGCCUACCAAGGCAUCGAUCAGUAGCUGGUCUGAGAGGAUGACCAGCCACACUGGGACUGAGACACGGCCCAGACUCCUACGGGAGGCAGCAGUGGGGAAUUUUCCGCAAUGGGCGAAAGCCUGACGGAGCAAGACCGCGUGAGGGAGGAAGGCUCUUGGGUCGUAAACCUCUUUUGUCAGGGAAGAACACAAUGACGGUACCUGACGAAUCAGCCUCGGCUAACUCCGUGCCAGCAGCCGCGGUAAUACGGAGGAGGCAAGCGUUAUCCGGAAUUAUUGGGCGUAAAGCGUCCGUAGGUGGCACCUCAAGUCUGCUGUCAAAGACCGGGGCUUAACCCCAGAAAGGCAGUGGAAACUGAAGUGCUAGAGUGCAGUAGGGGUAGAGGGAAUUCCCGGUGUAGCGGUGAAAUGCGUAGAGAUCGGGAAGAACAUCGGUGGCGAAANNNNCUCUGCUGGACUGCAACUGACACUCAGGGACGAAAGCUAGGGGAGCGAAUGGGAUUAGAUACCCUAGUAGUCC
rnacentral:rRNA from 1 species